GACGUAGGGCGCGAGCGUUGUUCGGAAUUACUGGGCGUAAAGGGCGCGUAGGCGGCCUUCUAAGUCGAACGUGAAAUCCCUGGGCUCAACCCAGGAACUGCGUCCGAUACUGGGAGGCUUGAAUCCGGGAGAGGGAUGUGGAAUUCCAGGUGUAGCGGUGAAAUGCGUAGAUAUCUGGAGGAACACCGGUGGCGAAGGCGGCAUCCUGGACCGGUAUUGACGCUGAUGCGCGAAAGCCAGGGGAGCAAACGGG
rnacentral:rRNA from 1 species